UACGGGGGGGGCAAGCGUUGUUCGGAAUUACUGGGCGUAAAGGGCUCGUAGGUGGCCAACUAAGUCAGACGUGAAAUCCCUCGGCUUAACCGGGGAACUGCGUCUGAUACUGGAUGGCUGGAGUAUGGGAGAGGAAUGCGGAAUUCCAGGUGUAGCGGUGAAAUGCGUAGAGAUCAGCAGGAAUACCCGUGGCGAAGGCGGCCCCCUGGGCCGUACCUGACGCUGAGGCGCGAAGGCUAGGGGAGCGAACGGG
rnacentral:rRNA from 1 species